GCACUGAUGGAGGCAUUUUCCAAAGAACAGUGACAAGGACAGCCAGCACCUCUCCUGCAUUCCUCAGUCUGACUCAAGCUGCUCUUCCACCCUCCUCCCCAGCUGGAGCUGAGGCUGAAGGCAGUUGAGGGCCACCGGAGAGAAGAGCUGGGUCAGGGCCGUGACUUGCAGCAAGCAUGAGGCCAUGCAGAUGUGCCGGGCAGGACGUACGAAUGAUGUUAUUUCUGGCAAGGAGGACAUGGCUGCUGUGGUUGAUUGGCUGUGGAAUUCCAGGGGAGCAAGGCACUAGGAAGUGGGGAACGCUGCCAGGCCCAGCAGCUCAUCAGGAGCUUGCACUUGGCCCAGUUAGGGCUGGCCGUGGGACGGGUUUGUUGAAGCUGCUGCCGCCAUAAGCUGCCCCUCUGCACCAGGAGACAGAUCCCAUUACCCCACCUACAGCUGCUUCCUGGUACAAGAGAAGAGUUACCAUUUGAAGUGACUCCACAGGAGAGUCUGACAAACAUGUUUGCUUUUCACUGACAAUUAAAAUUGUUUUGCUGCUAA
rnacentral:antisense_RNA from 1 species